GGGCCGCUGGUCUAGUGGUAUGAUUCUCGCUUAGGGCUCACCCUGAACAAAUUGUUGUUGCGAGAGGUCCCGGGUUCAAUCCCCGGGUGGCCCC